UUUUCAUACUUAAGUCUGGUUAUUGUUUCUGAGAGUAUUUUACAUAAGAAUAAAAUCCAGCAAAACAACGAAACUUAUGGAGAACGGUGCUAUAGAAAUAAAAACACAAACAUUCUGAGCUAAAUGGAAUAAGCCACACUAUACUUGGGAGUGCCACGAGUGAUUUCCCAUGAACCAAGUUAAUCGAACCGAAUCUGCUAAUACUUUGCAUGGUUCCGUUCUGCAAAAGAUUAUCAUAUACAAGGACUAAUAUAAAUUAAUACAGAUUAUUGUUAUAUUUUGAACAAUAUUCAGCUUUAAAUGUAUUUCUUAAUGACUAAAAUAUGGAUUUGGGUUAUCAAUUUUGUUACACGCUAAUGAAAUGCAUACACAUUAAUUUUAGACGCAGUUCUAGCCUAUACGAUUUGAUGCGGAUUAUCCAUUACGUCAGCAACUGUAACACCAGCAUUAACACGGUCAAUCUCUGGUAUAAGGGACUGCAGAAAACUAAUGUCGUCAACCGGCUAUUCUCCUAAUGUCUUUAAACAGUUUAGCUAUAGGAGCGGCGUGGCAUGGUCGGGAUCGGCAGCUAUUGGGGCACCUUAUGUUGAAAGGGUCACAAUGGUGAAUCAUACUGCUGAACCCUGCCACAAAAUGUACUGCUGCACCAAACAUGUCACGCCGCUUCUGUAAUCUAUGGUAUAUUAGAGAAUAAACUCUUUACAGUGUGUGUGUAUAAACUCAAUUUUGCUAGUAUGCUUCUGUUGGUACAUUUAAUCAUCAUGGAACAAUACGGUUGAAUGAAACCGGCUUGAUUUUUAACUGCAUGUAUUCAUUUAUAAACAUUUCGAAUGUUACUAUCUUUUUCUUUUUGGUACUUUGUUUGUUGUUUUUUGUUAAAUUUGGUUUGAAGUUAAGCACGAAGAUAACAUGAAUUAGUGCGGGUUUGAUGAUAGUAAAUACUCGGAAAACAGGGGGUGGAGAGAGCCUUUUCGCUGGUCAGAGCCUCGGAUUCUCCCUACCUCCCCCCUCUUAUAUAAAAAUAUCAUAAAAAAUAGAAAAGAGUUAGGGUUGGGGCAGCCGGCUCGCAGCAUACGAUUAACCUGUCUUUCUGGGUAGUUUUUUAGAUGAAAUUAAAACAAAAAAUAAUAAUUAUAAUAAUAAUAAUGCGCAAAGAUUAAGAUAACAUGACAAGUAUUUGUCAUAUUACAUAUGAAUUGUCCAUUCUGUAUUCUGUCUUACUGCAUAUGUUCAUAAAUAGUCCGGUAUAUUUUAUGUUUCUUUCGGCAUAUUGAUUGCUUAAGUACAUGCAUACUUGGAAAGAAUUAUGAUAUUUCUGUCUAUAUAUAUUUCGAAGGCGUUCUAUUGAUGCAUUGUGUUAUUGGGAUAUUGAUUGUUAUAUGAACAGUAGUUAACCACCAUCAUUGAAACCACUUUAAGUUGUUUGUUUGGUAUUAGUUAUAUAGUAAAGGAAAGAAAUAAGGCGUGUAUGCGUAUAUAAACUUGAUUUUAUUAGUAAACAUACAUUAUUUAAAUUGAUCUGAUUUCAUCAAUUUAGAAUUUUUAUUGUCGUGACUUAAAUGGCGCUUACAAAUUGUAAUCUUUAUUCGGGGUACAGUAAAGAAAGUCUUCUGUAUUAAAAUGUUUGGCUCAAGUCAAUUCUAAUUUCAUUUUAAUUUUUGUCCGUGUUGUGAGCAAUAUUUAGUGAUCCACAAAAUAUUUUAUUCUUGUAUACUACGGCAGUAUCAAAAUAAAAGCUCACUUGUCUAGGUUGACCUUCUCGUAUCUGCAACCUCGCGCUCGGUUGGUCAUCUCUUAUUAUUGGUGUUAUUGGGCGGGCGCUCUUUAACCGUUAGAGGGGGCCUUGUACCAUGUGGUCGGCCAUUCACCUGGUCCAUGGAUUGACUGUGUCUUAUAUAAACAGGGUUGUUCAACGUAUCGGCCAUACGAUUAUUAGUGAUCAGUCGAAAGUUGCAUUUGUUAUAUGUACGUGUAGGUCCGUACAUAUUUUUAUAAUUUGUGGAUCACUUUGCUACAAACCUCUAACACAUGGGUUAUGUUGAAACAGACAUGUAAAUCCCCCCUGUUUUCUUACGUUUCCAGUCUGCUGGUUAGCUCAGUCAAUCGCUUGGAUGGAUUAUAUUAUUAUUGUAGCAUAGUUUGCUAUAACCAUUCCCUCGCACCGGUCCGUUUGUUCAUAUAUUACAUUGAAACAAUUUUUUCAAUAUUUUAAUAUUUUUGUGCGUUUGUUUGCUGAAGACUUUCUUGACUUACAUCAGAUUUUAUUUUGAUCUUGGUGUUAUGUUUCAUUUUGCAUUUACUUAAUCUAGGAAGAAUAUUUUUGUUGAUAUAUCAUCUCAUGUCAUAGAGAUCUGUGAGAGCAUCUUUGUCACGUUUCUCAUUAGUGCGAAGUACUAGAACCUACAAUUUCCUAUUAGGUCUGGUAUGUUCUGCUCUUAUUUUCAUAGUUUUCUGCACCUUCGCGCUGCUAUGUUGCUUCCAGGCAUUUUAGCUGGAGCUUUGUCUUUCAUAUUUUCUCAUCAUUUUCAUAUAUACCAUGCUAUAUAUUUACAAUAUGCCAUAAUUUUCAUUUGAAAAUUUACAAUAAAGUCACGGCCUUAUCCCACAUAA